GAUGAACGCUGGCGGCGUGCCUAAUACAUGCAAGUCGAGCGAACGGACGAGAAUCUUGCUUCUCUGAUGUUAGCGGCGGACGUGUGAGUAACACGUGGAUAACCUACCUAUAAGACUGGUAUAACUUCGGGAAACCGUAGCUAAUACCGGAUAAUCUUUUGAACCGCAUGGUUCAAUAGUGAAAGACGGUCUUGCUGUCACUUAUCGAUGGAUCCGCGCUGCAUUAGCUAGUUGGUAAGGUAACGGCUUACCAAGGCAACGAUGCAUAGCCGACCUGAGAGGGUGAUCGGCCACCCUGGAACUGAGACACGGUCCAGACUCCUACGGGAGGCAGCAGUAGGGAAUCUUCCGCAAUGGGCGAGAGCCUGACGGAGCAACGCCGCGUGAGUGAUGAAGGUCUUCGGAUCGUAAAACUCUGUUAUUAGGGAAGAACAUAUGUGUAAGUAACUGUGCACAUCUUGACGGUACCUAAUCAGAAAGCCACGGCUAACUACGUG
rnacentral:rRNA from 1 species